AUUGAACGCUGGCGGCAGGCCUAACACAUGCAAGUCGAGCGAGCGGCGGACGGGGGAGUAAUGUAUGGGGACUGCCCGAUAGAGGGGGAUAACUACUGGAAACGGUAGCUAAUACCGCAUACUAUCGGAUAACCCAUAUGGGAUUAGCUAGUAUGUGAGGUAAUGGCUCACCUAGGCGACGAUCCCUAGCUGGUCUGAGAGGAUGGUCAGCCACACAGGGACAGAGUGACGGCCCAGCAUCCUACGGAGGCAGCAGUGGGGAAUAUUGCACAAUGGUCGCAAGCCUGAGGCAGCCAUGCCGCGUGUAUGAAGAAGGCCCUAGAAUUGUAAAGUACUUUCAGUCGGGAGGCGUUACCGACAGAAGAAGCACCGGCUAACUCCGUGCCAGCAGCCGCGGUAAUUC
rnacentral:rRNA from 1 species